CCCACUGAAGGAAGGUCAUGAGCAACAAGGCACCAGCACAUUGGAUCCAGAAUUGCUAAAAAGACGGAGACGAAGAAAAGAAGGAAGUGGAGGCAAUGAGGAAUGGAGAAGAAGGAAGGAAGGAAAUCAUGCUUGAAAGAAGGUUUAAAAAUAACAAGGAAUUGUAUUUGAAGAGCUGUGUUUAAAGAACUACACUUGAGAAACCACAUUCAUACUUGGACCUGAUUUAGAUGACGAGAUUAUGGACUCGAAGCUGAUAUUGCAAUGGAAUGAGAAUUUUGAAGUCUUUGGGGGCAGGCCACUGUCAUAAGGACGCCUGGAAGAGUGAAGAAAGGCCUGAUUGAUCACAAGGUCCUAUCAAAUGUCAAAGCUGGCCCUGGCUGACCUCCCAUCUAUUCAGAGCUGCUUUGAUUUAAUCUCCAAACUGGCUGCUUCUCCAGGCUGUGAGUUCUAUCCGCAACCUAUGUGUCAGCAUUGAGAUAUGACCUGCUUCACGCUCCAUUCAUCUCAUUUGAAGGACGGAAAUUAAACUCGAGGGUCGAAGAGGGGAACUGCUCAAAAUACACACACACAUUAACUGAAGCCUUUUGUGUGGGUACGUUAUAGGAGUUUGAACAACCAUUAAAAAUUAUAUUAAAAUGAACUUGAUCUUUACUCCACUGAAAUGGUUUAGAACUUUUCCUCCCCUCACUGCCCCUUCAUCUAUUCUUUUUUCCCUCCCAUAUUUGUAGUAAUCAUAUGAACCUGAUCUCAUUAAGGUUCAAAGUGAAAGAAGAGAAAAAUUUACAUUUUUUCAGUUUCUUUAAAAAUGGUGUGCUUUAGAAAAUUCACUUUGCCUGUAGUUUGCACCGUAAAUAUUUUUUUUAAAGAGAUAGGAGAAGCCGGUAACCAGACUAAUAGAAAUUCAGACUGCUUUGUUUAGCAUUACUGAUUCACUUAAGUUUCACCUUGUAAGGUUUUUUAAAAAAAUUAAUUAAAACUCAAACUUUGGGAAUAGUUCUAUAACUAUCAGGACACAUUGGUAUGGUAUAAAUCUAUAUAUCCUAGGUUCCAUGUCUUAUUUCUAAACUCUUCUUGCUCUUUUCAUUGGCCCUUUUAUGCUAUCAAAGCUAAUAACUAAGUGAAACUGGAUUCCUUACAGAUUUGUUUGCAUAAAAAGUUCAAGAAAAAACUCUAAGUUAUUUACUAG